rnacentral:rRNA from 1 species
AAUGAACGCUGGCGGCAUGCCUAACACAUGCAAGUCGAACGAAGGCUUCGGCCUUAGUGGCGCACGGGUGCGUAACGCGUUGGAAUCUGCCCUCCCGUUCGGACUAACAGCGAGAAAUUGCUGAUAAUAACGGAUGAUAUCGCGAGAUACAAGAUUUAUCGCCUGAGGAUGAGCCCGCGUAGGAUUAGCUAGUUGGUGUGGUAAAGGCGCACCAAGGCGACGAUCCUUAGCUGGUCUGAGAGGAUGAUCAGCCACACUGGGACUGAGACACGGCCCAGACUCCUACGGGAGGCAGCAGUGGGGAAUAUUGGACAAUGGGCGAAAGCCUGAUCCAGCAAUGCCGCGUGAGUGAUGAAGGCCUUAGGGUUGUAAAGCUCUUUUACCCGGGAUGAUAAUGACAGUACCGGGAGAAUAAGCUCCGGCUAACUCCGUGCCAGCCGCCGCAGUAA